rnacentral:lncRNA from 1 species
GUCAUCAAGUUACUGUGUUAAAUCAAAACAUGUUUACAAUGUCCCAAAAGUACAUUAUCACAAGUAAGGGAAUUCCAACCCAUUAGAAGAUUUGAAUGAUUUUGAACUAAAAACGCAUAAUAGUUUUGCACAAGAAUUUGUUAAACAACUCUUUUAUUAUCUAUUUAGGUAACUUUCCACAUAUUGGUAGAAAGUUACCUAAAUAUAUGGUUAAAGACCUAAUUCAAAGGUAGAUGUCAAAUGAGCUUCAGAUAAAAUUCAGUAUGGUUGGUCUAAAAGGAAAACUUAAGUUUAAAAAAACUUUGUUGGAUAAUGU